CGGGGAGUAGCGCAGUUUGGUAGCGCACCUGAAUGGGGUUCAGGGGGCCAGCGGUUCAAGUCCGCUCUCCCCGA
rnacentral:tRNA from 1 species